UAAUUGAAGAGUUUGAUCAUGGCUCAGAUUGAACGCUGGCGGCAGGCUUAACACAUGCAAGUCGAGCGGUAGCACAAGGGAGCUUGCUCCCUGGGUGACGAGCGGCGGACGGGUGAGUAAUGUCUGGGAAACUGCCUGAUGGAGGGGGAUAACUACUGGAAACGGUAGCUAAUACCGCAUAACGUCGCAAGACCAAAGAGGGGGACCUUCGGGCCUCUUGCCAUCAGAUGUGCCCAGAUGGGAUUAGCUAGUAGGUGGGGUAAUGGCUCACCUAGGCGACGAUCCCUAGCUGGUCUGAGAGGAUGACCAGCCACACUGGAACUGAGACACGGUCCAGACUCCUACGGGAGGCAGCAGUGGGGAAUAUUGGACA
rnacentral:ncRNA from 1 species